AGACCUCUUGAUGAUUCUAGAACCAUGGCGACCUUUGCCCACAGGUGCGAGUGUACAGCAGUAUAAAACAUGAGGAAAUAAUCUUGUCUUUUUGCAGUACAUUCUGCUUAGGAUCAACAACAAAAAAGGUUUAGUGGUGGUACCUUGGUGGGGGACACCGUGGUAAACGGACCCUUCGGUAAAAAAUGCAGUAAUGAGAGUGGAUUCAAAAUCCUGCUGCCAAGGGCAGGUCAUCCGGCCCAGAGACAAAGGAGAAACUCAGAAGGGGCUUGAGUCAUCACCUACUGGAGUCCCGAUGCGCAGAGACCGUUGAAGUGACGCAGUUGCGUUGAAGUCUUAUGUAAAAGUCUUAAUGAAGUCUUAAUGGCUUAUGUAAAAUAAGCUGUGAAUAAAGAAUAUAUGAAUAUAUGAUGCAUGCAAAAAUGCAAGCCAGUUUGGUUUGGUUUCUGUGGGCUUGGUUCGGUUGGUUGGGUACCAACGGAUUAAAACCCUUCCUAAAAAUGAAUACAACAGUGAAAACUUAAUGUAGGCCUACCGUGCACACCGGGUGCACAUUACACAAAUGAUUGACUGAAUUAUCAUCUGUUGAAAUGCAAUAAAUGAAAAUGACUGUCAGGACUGUUAUACAAUAAAAACUGACAUUGUUAAGUCUGUUAACUUGAUAACUCACUUCACAAAAUAUCCAAAUAAAUAAAGGUUUAAUUG